GCCCAUCCCAGACAUAAAAUCAAGCACCACUAUUACUAAACGCAAAUCAAACAUUUCAACAAAUAACCUCAACGUUUAACUCCAAAUCACCAGCACAAAUUUACUCCAACAGUAAAUCAAACCUAACUAGACAAACUAGCCAAGAAAUCACUCUAAGCUCAAGUCAACAUAAUUGUCCAAUUAACCAUAAUUUAGAUAGGAAACUGAAAUAACUAACCCCCCAUAUCAUCCUACAAAAUACCUACACUCAAAUUAAACACAAACUAGCCAAUCUCUCAACAGCCAGUAGUAAAAUUAAAACCACACAUACGUUUAUGCAUGUAAG
rnacentral:misc_RNA from 1 species